AGAGAGAGAGCAAGCCACAAGUUUGGGUGUGGAGAUGGGGAAAAGAGGGAACUUGGAGUCUCGAAUCCAUACACACACAGGUGUUUUCUCAACCAAAUGUUGUGGGAACCGUGAACCAGAAGACAGGAAUUCUGAGUUCCCCUUGGGUUCCAGGCUCUGUGUCGAGGAGCAGCUCCAGUGAAACCCACUUCAUCUCCUGUCUGGAGUUCCCAUCUCCCCUGCGCAGGGGGAAGCAGAAGCCAGACCCUGCUGCUCACCUGCUGGACCGCGCAAAGGGAUCCCCUCCAGCUGCAGUCGUGAGCAGCUGGAGUUAGCAAGCCUGGGAGCCAGAGUUCCACAAAUUUGCCAGCUUCUAGGAGCUCUGGCAUAUGAACGUGCUUGAGAACCUGCCAUUCUUCUGAUGUUGAAAUUUGGAUGAAAUACAACACAGAAGUUAAAGGAACCAAGAAACAGAAUCAGAGGAUAAACUGCAGUCUUAGAAAUUACAUUUGGAAAUUACACCCUCACAUGUGGAUGAUAGGAGAUGAGGCUGAAGCACAGGCUUGGACCAGCCAGAGGAAGGCCCUGCCACCAGGAAGAGGCAUGUGUGGAGCCGCUGGGGCACUAAGUGAACCACUGACAGAAUUGCCCUGCAGAGACACGAGGCCAGAGCAGAGAGAUGAGCAGCCAGGAGGAGAAAGGCCGGAGGCUUGCUCUAGCAUCCUGCUCCAAGGUCUCCUCCUCCUAGAAGCCCUCUAGACUCCCCGCCCACGUCUCUGCUCCGAGCACCAUCUAACACCGCUGCUCUGUGUGGGAGCAGUGUGUUCACAGCCUGAGAGCACCUUGUGGGUAAGGAUGGAUCUUCUUCAGUGAUUUUAGUCUUAGUCACUAGGGCUUGGCGAUCAGUGGGUGCCAGUAUUCAUUAAGCGAAUAAGUUAAUUAAUGUCUGAAAAAGAGUCAGUGGUUUCAGAGGUAUGUGUCUAGUUUUCCUCUAGAGGACUGUUUCCUACCUGCCAAAAGGGGUGAAACUCCCUAGUGGCCCAGAGUGUCCAAGAUGACAUGGGUCCACAGUCUAGGACCACCACCCGCCAAAAUUCAGCUUUAGGAAGACCCCAUUGAAGUUGGCUUAAAAAUUAGGCAUAUAGUCCAUGAUCUUAUUUUUCAAAUUCAAGGAAGGAACA
rnacentral:lncRNA from 1 species